GGUGGGGGGAGGGGCUCCUUGCACAGGGCUGCAGACGGUGCUUGUCACGGACUGAGCUCCACCCUCGGCCCUUAGGCAUUAACCCACAGAGAUAAUAUUAUAGGCAUAGGCUUAUUCUCUGCCAUCACAGAAAGGGAAAAAAAAUCUAAUUUUAUACUGAAGCCUGAACUGAAAGAUAUUGCUCUGAUACUGUGGACAUAAGCUGAAGCAGAAGAACCUGUGAAAGAAGAGAGUCCGUCACCUGAAGGCCAGGCCUCAGCAAACUGUUGUUUCAGCUGCCCAGCUUUUGUUUGUGGGGUGACGUAAGAGACCAAGGUAUUUUUUCCAGUGCAGACAGGAUGCAACCCUGUAUAAUGCGCAAAGGGGAAAGGAAAUGGGUAUACGGUGUUAUGUAUUGGCUGUGACUGAAAAAAGGCGUAACAUUGAGGACUGAACAUUUGACGCACCAUAUUAAAGGUUAAUAUCUUUUUGAUAUC